rnacentral:rRNA from 1 species
ACCCACCUGACUCCAUGCCGAACUCAGUAGUGAAACGAAGCAGCGCCGAUGGUAGUGUGGGGUCUCCCCAUGUGAGAGUAGGACAUCGCCAGGC